rnacentral:rRNA from 1 species
CUGCUCAGGCAGGAGCCCCCCCUCCCAAAAGGGGGCGCACUGUCGACCGAUCCCAGGCUACGCUGUGGCGGGAUUUGAGUAAGAGCGUGCCUGUUGCGACCCGAAAGAUGGUGAACUAUGCCUGAAUAGGGUGAAGCCAGAGGAAACUCUGGUGGAAGCUCGUAGCGAUUCUGACGUGCAAAUCGAUCGUCAAAUUUGGGUAUAGGGCGAAAGA